CAAACAACUUUUAAAUUUAUAACUAGAUUAGUUUCAAGGAUGAGAGUCGAAAAAGUACCCCGAUUUGACCAUUUUCUGGGACAGUUACGCAACAUCUGUGCGAAACAUUGCAUAUCCACGCAUUUAAACGUGAAUGUUGCACGCAUAAUGAGAUGCGCACAAGGCGGAAUGGGGAUCGACUCAUUUUGCGAUAUAUGCGUCUCUUCGUUGUGCGUUAUAUAGCUAGCACAUUGCUCUGUUAGACGAGGCCUGGCUGGCAUAAUUGUGCAAUACGUGUAUCUCGCAUAUCUCAGCGUGCAUCCUUCCUUCCGUUCCGCCCUCCGAGAACUACGCUGCAUACCUACCAAGCGCAACUUACUCAAUGUCGACGAAUAACGGAGAUUGUACAUACGUCGAUACGCUGAUUCGCACGAAUUGUAGCUGACAGCCGAAUGAAUGAAAUGUUCAUUCUUCCAAACAGCUAAAUCGGCACCAAUUGGCAACAUCAAACGCACACAAGAUGAUUUCUAAAAUAUCGGUUUUCAUAUCGACUUAUGGCGUACCGUGUCGAAAAACAUGGAGAUUUUUUAACAUCAUAUUCAAGAAACUCAUUUAACUCAAAAAAUCUGGAUUAAAUACUAUAAUGCAUUUCUCUGUACAUUUUUAAACCAAUAAGAAAAUAUGAUGGAAAGUUUAAUGAGAAAAAAAUAUAUAGAAAUAUGCAUCAAGCACGAGAUGCUGAUCGCAAUAACAAUUUUGGGAUAUCCUGUAUAUAAGUAACGCCAAAACGAUACGAGAGACGAAAGAGUUUCAGAAACAGCCGCGAAACAAUAGGCAUAACUUCUAACACGGUUGACACGCCGGUUACCGCAAGCCGAAAGCAGCUAAUACAGCAAGUUAUCCACUUAGAAAUCCAACGGAACAUUGCGAGAGAAGAGUUUGAGGAGUCGGAGGGUGCAAGGAGGCUGUUACCAACUUUGGAUAAACCGGGCUAAGUUUCCUGGCUCGGUACUUACGAAACUGCCACGCGAAAACGUUUCGAGUUUAUUCUUCCCGCACGCACCGACAGAGAAAUACCGCAGGCAUCGAUUUACAUAACGAUUAAGUUAAUUAAGCGCAUAAAUGUGUUGUUUAUCAGAUCUUCCUUCAAGGUAACAUAUCUUCAGAAAUUAUUAAUUUUCGUACUCUGAUGGCAGGAAUAUUUAAUGAAAUAAAUAUAUCUACUGGCAAACUUUAAAAAACAAUUAUUUAUAAAUAACUAUAUAACACAUUUUAUUUAUUCAUCUGUAUAUAGUUAGUUGUACCAAGUGCAAGACAUAUAUACAAUGUUUUACUUUGUAUCUAUUAUUACAAUAUAUGUAGGUAGUUCACGAGAAUCGAUAUCACAUGAUAUCGAGUCUCGUCUAAUUAAUAGUUAAUAGAAAUUGCAUUUUUAUUUUUUGUUCUCUUUACAUUACGUCACUAU